rnacentral:rRNA from 1 species
UACGUAGGGUGCAAGCGUUGUCCGGAAUUAUUGGGCGUAAAGAGCUCGUAGGCGGUCUGUCGCGUCUGCUGUGAAAACUCAGGGCUUAACCCUGAGCUUGCAGUGGGUACGGGCAGACUAGAGUGCGGUAGGGGAGACUGGAAUUCCUGGUGUAGCGGUGAAAUGCGCAGAUAGUCAGGAGGAACACCGGUGGCGAAGGCGGGUCUCUGGGCCGUAAGCUGACGC